GCCUCAGUAGCACAAUCAGGUAGUGCACUCGCCUCCUAAGCUUAGGUUAGUGAGAGGUUGCGGGUUCGAGUCCCGUCUGAGGUG
rfam:Spizellomyces punctatus DAOM BR117 chromosome Tnknown supercont1.12, whole genome shotgun sequence.